UAGCCAAUGAUGAAUUACUUGGGUUCUCCUUCAAGAAAUUAUGACUGAUGCACAACUAACGUUUCUGAUGCA
rnacentral:snoRNA from 1 species